rnacentral:rRNA from 1 species
UACGUAGGGGGCUAGCGUUGUCCGGAAUCAUUGGGCGUAAAGCGCGUGUAGGCGGUCCGGUAAGUCCGCUGUGAAAGUCGGGGGCUCAACCCUCGAAUGCCGGUGGAUACUGUCGGGCUAGAGUGCGGAAGAGGCGAGUGGAAUUCCUGGUGUAGCGGUGAAAUGCGCAGAUAUCAGGAGGAAGACCGGUGGCGAAGGCGGCCUGCUGGGCAGUUACUGACACUGAGGCGCGACAGCGUGGGGAGCAAACAGG